AAGUAUGGUCACUGUAGCAUUAUUCGUAACAGCAAAAAAUGAAAACCACAGAAUCAUCAAGUGAUGAUUAAACAGGUGAUAUGUGAAAAGCCAGUGAAGAACUCAGCAGUUUCUACAACUUUAAUUAUACUGUGUCAUAUACAACUAGGAAUAGGAGGAGAAAUGGUCUUACUAAUGCUGGGGAGGAAGAAAUAAAGGCUGAGAAUAGUGAAAUGACUAUGCCAAAGAUGAAGGAACUGUAAAGAAAUUCUAAGGAAGUGAAUGGGUCUUACAUGGCCUUAUGGUACUCUUUGCAGAGAUCAAUAUUUUA
rnacentral:lncRNA from 1 species